UACGGAGGGUGUAAGCGUUAUCCGGAUUCACUGGGUUUAAAGGGUGCGUAGGUGGGCAAGUAAGUCAGUGGUGAAAUCUCCGGGCUUAACCCGGAAACUGCCAUUGAUACUAUUUGUCUUGAAUACUGUGGAGGUCAGCGGAAUAUGUCAUGUAGCGGUGAAAUGCUUAGAUAUGACAUAGAACACCAAUUGCGAAGGCAGCUGGCUACACAAAUAUUGACACUGAGGCACGAAAGCGUGGGGAUCAAACAGG
rnacentral:rRNA from 1 species